UACGGCCGCAUCAUGUUGAAACCCUGGACCCCGUACAAUCACCGAAGUUAAGCAACGUCGAGGCUGGUCAGUAUCUAGAUGGGCGACCGCUUGGGAAUCCCAGAUGUUGUAA